AGCGUCGGAUCGAUUACAUCCGGGGGGUAGAGCGACUGGAUGCUUGCGGGCCCAUAUCGGGUACCAACAGCAACCAAACUCCGAAUACCCGUGAUGCGUAUCCCGGCAGUGAGUCGGCGGGGGAUAAGCUCCGUCGUCGAAAGGGAAACAGCCCAGAUCGUCGUCUAAGGUCCCCAAGCGUGUGCUAAGUGGGAAAGGAUGUGGAGUCGCAUAGACAGCCAGGAGGUUGGCUCAGAAGCAGCCACCCUUGAAAGAGUGCGUAACAGCUCACUGGUCUAGUGGUUCCGCGCCGACAAUGUAGCGGGGCUCAAGCACACCACCGAAGACGCGGCAGUAGCUUUGCUACUGGGUAGGAGAGCGUCCCAUGCGGGGCGAAGCGGCGGCGCAAGCCCGCCGUGGACUGCAUGGGAGUGAGAAUGCAGACAUGAGUAGCGAAAGACGGGUGAAGAUCCCGUCCGCUGGACGACCAAGGGUUCCAGGGCCACGUUCAUCGUCCCUGGGUGAGUCGGGUCCUAAGGCGAGGCCGACAGGCGUAGUCGAAUGGAUGAACGGGUCGAUAUUCCCGUACCGGCAUGCAACCGACAAAACCGAAUCCGCGAGUACUAACCUCCGGGUCCGGGCUUACGUCUCCUUCGGGAGCCGGAUGCCCUGGCCUGUUGGGACCGUAACGGUAGUAGGUCAGCGCGGGAGUGACGCAGAAGGGUAGCCGGCCGCGGAGGUGGUCUUCCGUGGUCAAGCACGCAGCCCGUCCCACAGGCAAAUCCGUGGGGCGCGUGGGCGAGGUGCGAUGAUGGGCGCCGCAGGGCGCGAUAUCCGGUGAUCCCGGCUGCCGAGAAAAGCUUCGGCGUGAGGCGGCGUGCCGCCCGUACCCCAAACCGACACUGGUGGUCAGGUAGAGAAUACCAAAGCGAUCGAGCGAAUCCUGGUCAAGGAACUCGGCAAAUCACUCCCGUUCCUUCGGUUUAAGGGAGACCCCCGAUGGUGAAGCGGCUUGCCCGUGGAGCUUUUGGGGGUGGCACAGACCAGGGGGUAGCGACUGUUUACCAAAAACACAGGAGCGUGCGAAGGCGCAAGCCGCUGUAUACGCUCUGACGCCUGCCCGGUGCCGGAAGGUUAAGAGGAUCCGUCAGGCUUCGGCCGAAGCGGUGAAUUCAAGCCCCGGUAAACGGCGGUGGUAACUAUAACCAUCCUAAGGUAGCGAAAUUCCUUGUCGGGUAAGUUCCGACCUGCACGAAUGGCGUAACGACUUCCCCACUGUCUCGACCAGGAGCUCGGCGAAAUUGCAGUACGAGUAAAGAUGCUCGUUAAGCGCAGAAGGACGAAAAGACCCCGGGACCUUUACUAUACCUUGGUAUUGGCAUUCGGUGUGGAUUGUGUAGCAUAGGCGGAAGGCUUCGAAGCCACGGCGCCAGCCGCGGUGGAGCCGCAAGGUGAAAUACCGCUCUGUUCGCAUUGGAUGUCUAACCUCGACCAGUCAUCCUGGUCAGGGACAGUGCCUGGCGGGUAGUUUAACUGGGGCGGUUGCCUCCCAAAGAGUAACGGAGGCGCUCAAAGGUUCCCUCAGCCCGGUUGGCAAUCGGGUGGCGAGUGUAAGUGCACAAGGGAGCUUGACUGCGAGACUGACGGGUCGAGCAGGGACGAAAGUCGGAACUAGUGAUCCGGUGCCGGUGUACGGACGCGGCAUCGCUCAACGGAUAAAAGGUAC
rnacentral:rRNA from 1 species